GGAGAUGUAGCUCAGUUGGUAGAGUGCUCACUUCACACGCACAAGGCCCUGGGUUCAAUCCCCAGCACCACCA
rnacentral:tRNA from 1 species